AGCCUUUCGAAUCCGUGCUGAGAUUUCGUCAGACACCGACCCAUUAGGGCCGAUCAGACUUCCAAGAUAAGUGAGGUU
rnacentral:pre_miRNA from 1 species